rnacentral:rRNA from 1 species
CAGCAGCCGCGGUAAUACGAAGGGUGCAAGCGUUAAUCGGAAUUACUGGGCGUAAAGCGUGCGUAGGUGGUGGUUUAAGUCCGUUGUGAAAGCCCUGGGCUCAACCUGGGAAUUGCAGUGGAUACUGGAUCACUAGAGUGUGGUAGAGGAUAGUGGAAUUUCCGGUGUAGCAGUGAAAUGCGUAGAGAUCGGAAGGAACAUCUGUGGCGAAGGCGACUAUCUGGGCCAACACUGACACUGAGGCACGAAAGCGUGGGGAGCAAACAGGAUUAGAUACCCCUGUAGUCCCUGUCUCUUAUAC